UACGUAGGUGGCUAGCGUUGUCCGGAUUUACUGGGCGUAAAGAGCGCGCAGGCGGUCGUUCAAGUCGAGUGUGAAAGCCCCCGGCUCAACUGGGGAGGGUCACUCGAUACUGAUCGACUUGAAGGCAGGAGAGGGAAGCGGAAUUCCCCGGUGUAGUGGUGAAAUGCGUAGAUAUCGGGAGGAACACCAGUGGCGAAGGCGGCUUUCUGGCCUGUUCUUGACGCUGAGG
rnacentral:rRNA from 1 species